rnacentral:rRNA from 1 species
CAGAUGAACGCUGGCGGCAGGCCUAACACAUGCAAGUCGAACGGUAGCACAGAGAGCUUGCUCUCGGGUGACGAGUGGCGGACGGGUGAGUAAUGUCUGGGAAACUGCCUGAUGGAGGGGGAUAACUACUGGAAACGGUAGCUAAUACCGCAUAACGUCGCAAGACCAAAGAGGGGGACCUUCGGGCCUCUUGCCAUCAGAUGUGCCCAGAUGGGAUUAGCUAGUAGGUGGGGUAACGGCUCACCUAGGCGACGAUCCCUAGCUGGUCUGAGAGGAUGACCAGCCACACUGGAACUGAGACACGGUCCAGACUCCUACGGGAGGCAGCAGUGGGGAAUAUUGCACAAUGGGCGCAAGCCUGAUGCAGCCAUGCCGCGUGUAUGAAGAAGGCCUUCGGGUUGUAAAGUACUUUCAGCGGGGAGGAAGGUGUUGUGGUUAAUAACCGCAGCAAUUGACGUUACCCGCAGAAGAAGCACCGGCUAACUCCGUGCCAGCAGCCGCGGUAAUACGGAGGGUGCAAGCGUUAAUCGGAAUUACUGGGCGUAAAGCGCACGCAGGCGGUCUGUCAAGUCGGAUGUGAAAUCCCCGGGCUCAACCUGGGAACUGCAUUCGAAACUGGCAGGCUAGAGUCUUGUAGAGGGGGGUAGAAUUCCAGGUGUAGCGGUGAAAUGCGUAGAGAUCUGGAGGAAUACCGGUGGCGAAGGCGGCCCCCUGGACAAAGACUGACGCUCAGGUGCGAAAGCGUGGGGAGCAAACAGGAUUAGAUACCCUGGUAGUCCACGCCGUAAACGAUGUCGACUUGGAGGUUGUGCCCUUGAGGCGUGGCUUCCGGAGCUAACGCGUUAAGUCGACCGCCUGGGGAGUACGGCCGCAAGGUUAAAACUCAAAUGAAUUGACGGGGGCCCGCACAAGCGGUGGAGCAUGUGGUUUAAUUCGAUGCAACGCGAAGAACCUUACCUACUCUUGACAUCCAGAGAACUUUCCAGAGAUGGAUUGGUGCCUUCGGGAACUCUGAGACAGGUGCUGCAUGGCUGUCGUCAGCUCGUGUUGUGAAAUGUUGGGUUAAGUCCCGCAACGAGCGCAACCCUUAUCCUUUGUUGCCAGCGGUUAGGCCGGGAACUCAAAGGAGACUGCCAGU